CAAAAUACCCUUUCCGUAAAUUUAAAUAGAAAUUUUAAUUACUCUCUUUUAGUUACAAUUAUAUAAUUAAUGGGAUAAUUUUUAAGUAAUUUAUUUAAUUUAUGGUUAAUGGGUCAAACCCAUGAUUUAGUUAAUAUGUAAAAACUGAAUUAAAUUAAAGGGAGGUUAUUAUUAUUUUAUCCCAAUACAAUUAGUUGCGGCUGAAACUAUCGUGUGAGAGAACUCAACUUUGACGCCGACAGAAUUGAUAAAAAACUUCUCCAGGUAAAAAGCUUAAUCAAGCUUCAAUAUUACUUUUACAUAUACUAAUUGAUUGGGGGAGGAGAGAAUUACUAUUAUUAUUUUAUUGUUGAAUAGAGAUUUGAAAUUGGAAAAAAAUGGGUUUCUGUGCAACAGGGGGUUAUUGAAUUGGGUAUGUUAAAUUGUUAAGUAAUUAUCUCUUGUAAUAAUUAUAAAAUAAUGUAGAUGUAGAAAUUUAUUAUUAUA
rnacentral:lncRNA from 1 species